rnacentral:rRNA from 1 species
AUUGAACGCUGGCGGCAGGCCUAACACAUGCAAGUCGAGCGGGGUUUUCGGACCUAGCGGCGGACGGGUGAGUAAUGCGUAGGAAGCUACCCGAUAGAGGGGGAUACCAGUUGGAAACGACUGUUAAUACCGCAUAAUGUCUACGGACCAAAGUGUGGGACCUUCGGGCCACAUGCUAUCGGAUGCGCCUACGUGGGAUUAGCUAGUUGGUGAGGUAAUGGCUCACCAAGGCGACGAUCUCUAGCUGGUUUGAGAGGAUGAUCAGCCACACUGGAACUGAGGCACGGUCCAGACUCCUACGGGAGGCAGCAGUGGGGAAUAUUGGACAAUGGGCGAAAGCCUGAUCCAGCCAUGCUGCGUGUGUGAAGAAGGCCUUCGGGUUGCAAAGCACUUUCAGUAGGGAGGAAGCGUUGUGUGUUAAUAGUACACAGCGUUGACGUUACCUACAGAAGAAGCACCGGCUAACUCUGUGCCAGCCGCCGCCGUAAAAC